rnacentral:rRNA from 1 species
CAAGAUGAGACUUCCCAUCACUUCGAGUGAGUAAGAUCCCUCAGAGACGAUGAGGUUGAUAGGUCCGAGGUGGAAGCGUGGUGACACGUGGAGCUGACGGAUACUAAUAGAUCGAGGACUUAACUAAUAU